rnacentral:rRNA from 1 species
CUCCUACGGGAGGCAGCAGUAAGGAAUAUUGGGCAAUGGACGCAAGUCUGACCCAGCCAUGCCGCGUGGAGGAUGAAGGUCCUCUGGAUUGUAAACUUCUUUUACUCUUGGGGCGAAAAACGAGGUAAUUCUUACUUGCUUGACAGUACCAGAGGAAUAAGCACCGGCUAACUCCGUGCCAGCAGCCGCGGUAAUAC